UGCUUUUGUUUUUCUUUAAACUCAUCAUUAAUCGCGUGAUCUUCAAUUAGAAUUACUUAAAUAACCGCGUCAUUUUAAAUCUGCUUAAACAAAUGACAAACAAAACAGCGCCCACGCCGAUCUUCCGCCAUUCAUACAGCGUAUACGCCAUUUUGUCAUUUUUGCAAGAAAAUGCAAGAGUAGACGAAAUAACAAAAUGCAAAGAAAUCAUUGCCCUAGACACGCGUUGCUCUCAAAUGAUGCUGACGACAAAGUGAUUCUGUUUUAUCAAACUGAAACUAUGAACUGUAAUGCAAAUUGUGAACUUCGAAAUUGAGGUUAUGAAAUUGACAUGUCUAUUUAUAAACAAUGUGAACGAUCGCGUUGCAAGAGAUGAACGCAAUGAAACCUUACUGUGUCUCUCGUCAAUAGAAAUCUAGUGCUCAUACUCACGAUCUAAUGAACAAACAGCCAUACAAAAGAUGUCUUAAAGAGGUAUGCCUCCACUGACAAAGUGAAUUAAGUUGCCUACUCGAAAAGCAACUUUGCAAGGAAGCAAGUUUGCUACCCACUGAAAUGUUCCCUUGGUACUUGAUGUGAUUAUGAAAUGAAACUGUCAUCCAUUACAAUAUGAUAAAGAUAUUCUUGAUGGCGAUGAGUGAUGACUAACUUUCAAAACUACAAGAUGAACCCCUUCCACUUCUAGAAUGUGAAGAAUGCUGCCAUAUUACUGGCCCAUAUGAUCAUCAUGACAACUGUCUACCGUUGUCUACCCCGAUAUAAGGAAAAUUACAAACGUGUUGCUAAGCUUAAUAUUAGAUGACUAGAAGCAGUUAGAAGAAUAAAGAAUGGUUCCGGAGUUUUACAAUGGCCGACUAACUUUUGAUGACUGAUGCAGAUGACUAUGCCAGCAAAAGAUGGAUAACAGAUGUACUUCGAAUAGCAAUAUGACUAAAGCACUGUCUUACAUGAUUAAGACUAGAAUAUUGAAUAUGUAAUUAAAGUUUAAGUUGUAAAAUGAUAAUGUGGAUUUCAUAUAUAUG